CGGAAGAGAAGCCAAUUGUGGCGCUCCAACAGCCGAAACCAAUCAUAAGGUUCGAAGGGCGACCUAACCCUGAACGGACAUUUGGUUUUACCAAUUAGAAUGGACCUCCAGCAUGGUACAACCAAUCGCGGCAUCGCCAAAUAAGAGUUCAUUUCCAAGGCCUCAGCGUACAGCCUGCAAGUCUAGUACAUCUUUCAGCCGGGUAACAGCGCUUCGUAACCAGCUGCCGCAGUGAAGGCACCAUCAGUCGAUGGGCGUGUUUCCUCGGCGCGUUUCGAAUGAAAAAAUUACUGAGAAAAAUGCUUAUUUAGUUGAAAUUACCUCGAACUACCGAUUGGCUGUGGAAAAAACAAUUACACUCAACAUUGAUAACUGUUUAUUGUUUUUAAAUCAUAACGAAGAUGCCGUGCAAGAGAAGCAGCCGUCCAGAGGGAUCUCCGCAGAUGUCUCCAGACCUCCAAGGACAUCUUGGAUGUGCGCUGCAGCUGUACACAGAUGAAAAAACGCGCACGUCUGGUUGUACAAUCACAUCUGACUGGAUUAAAUACGUGAGGCCCGGAGUGACUGAUUGCUGAGCCGAUGGGAGUUCACCAGGGCCACUGCUAUUCUCAUCAGCUUUACAGGAACGGGCGGGGAGACAGCAAAAUCACUGUACAACAUGCAUCUUCCUUAAGAUAGUGUCCCAAAGCCAAAGAAUAAAAAAAUAAAGAAGUAUAAAAGGGCAAUGAAACUUUGCCUGUAUUUCACUAUGAAUUAUUUAAAGGAGCUAACUUGUUCUACUAAACCCUGGGACAUGUAGCGUGCAGUACAUGUUUCUGUUUCAUUAUACAAGCUUCAUUAUCACCAUUUAUCAACAAUUUACUACGUAGGCAGGCUAAUACUUGAAAGCAUUCAAUGCCCAGCCAUCUCAGCCUAGUGGUCUUUCUUAAGUAUUACGCCUGUGCAUUCAAAGAUGACAGUCUUCUGGAAUCUUCUCCCUUAUUUUCCAACUUAAUAUAAACUGCAAGGGCAUUUAAGAUAAACCACCUGUAACCUGAUGUUUUGGCAUUCUAUGGAUGGGAAAUGUACGUGCACUAGACCAUAGCUUUGCUGAGUUAUAAUAAUUACAAUAUGGAUGUUUACCUGAAGGAAUUUUAGUUAAUAAGCAUUUUCACUAAAUUGUGCACUUGUGGUGAAUUGCAAUUCACUUGAAUGUUGGCCUACUUCUCAAGUCAACUUUUGAAAGAAAGAGAGAUGUUGGCUUUUACUGUUAUUAAGAAAUCGAACCCUUCCGUGAUUACAUUUACCCUGUGUGGGAUCAGAAGUCCUUCUGCACGAAUAAAUGUAUUUUUCUUUUUUAUUUAA